rnacentral:rRNA from 1 species
AUUGAACGCUGGCGGCAGGCCUAACACAUGCAAGUCGAGCGGAGCGGCGGACGGGUGAGUAAUGCCUAGGAAUCUGCCUGGUGGUGGGGGAUAACGUACGGAAACGGGCGCUAAUACCGCAUACUAGCAGAUGAGCCUCGAGCGGAUUAGCGAGUUGGUGGGGUAAAGGCCUACAAAGGCGACGAUCCGUAACUGGGCUGAGAGGAUGAUCCGUCACACUGGAACUGAGACACGGUCCAGACUCUUACGGGAGGCAGCAGUGGGGAAUAUUGGACAAUGGGCGAAAGCUUGAUCCAGCCAUGCCGCGUGUGUGAAGAAGGUCUUCGGAUGGUAAAGCACUUUAAGUUGGGAGGCGUUACCAACAGAAUAAGCACCGGCUAACUUCGUGCCAGCAGCCGCGGUAAUAC